ensembl:lncRNA
UUUUUUCAUGUUGAAUAUCCUGUUUCACACAAAAAUACAGCAGAUUAUGGAAACAAAAUGUGUUGUGAACACAGUUUCAUGUUGAUUUUAAAGUUGAAACGGCAUGUUUUAUCAGAAACACAUAUGAAUCCAUCAGUAAUGUACUAGUGUGUGUUCAUAUGUUCAGCACACGUAUGUGAACAGACCUGAGCUCUUGAAGACUGUGUUUUCAGCUCAAACGUUCCCUCCUCACACUUCACAGAUAACCUUGGACACAAAACAUGAAUAUGGAGAGGAAGUCUCAUGAAUAAAUAAUCACCAGCACCGCAAAACAGCUGGAGCUCAAAAAGAGGUGGAGGAGAGAGAGAAGAGAAGCACAGAAGCACAGAACGAUGAGCAGGAGAGAGAACACAGCAUGACGUGAACGGGUUUUGUGUGUCUUGGUGUGACAGCAGGUUCAGCCUUUGGUUUGUAGUUGCUGUCCAGACAUUGUGAGUCGCCGGCAGUUUCAAACACACACAGUGGUCAAAGGAUGCUAUGCACAAUGAAAGCGAGUGUUCUUCCAGCAGUCUGGAGCGCAUCUGCGUUGGUCACAUGUCAGACCGCGCUGGGAUUGCAGAAGUGGCUGAGAGUCAAGGUCACUGGGUAAAAGCCUCUGGGAAAAUGAAUGAGAACAUGAUACUCUGCUUGCUAGCUCUCGCUUGGAUCUACAGAAGCUUGAGAAAACGAGACGGCUGUCACAGUUCACUAGUUUAUCUGAAGCUUACAUGAUGAACCAGGCUUUCAACUUAGUGUCUGAAAAACAGCAGGCAGAGUCUUACAGUCAGUACUGACAUUGACUGAUUGGCUCAGCGGUCGUCUUCAAGGGUCUUUACACACAGUUAUCCUGUGAAUAAGGACACGGACUUCUAUUGUUUUAAUAAAAACCCAGUAAUAAUGAAUAAAGACGGACUGUAACAUACCAAAGGUCCUUAGAAGGCCUGAACUGAUUCAAAAACUGAUUCAAGUCCGUUUUAUUUUAAUGUUGCAGGUUGUAGGGUUAUUUAAUUUAAUUUAUUUCAUUUUUUAUUAUCCAUCCAUCAAUUUUUUUUAUUGUUUAAUUUAUUUAUUAAUUUUUUUUAUCAGAAUUGCAAGUUUAGAUUUUAAUAUCUUCUCAAUUCUGACUUUUUUUUUUUUUUUCAGAAUUCUGAGUUCAAGUCUGUUUUUUUUCUGCCACAAAAUUCUGCAAAAGUAAUUCCUCACAAUGCAGAUUUUCCCUCAGGAUUCUGAUUCCGUUUUUCACCACGAAACAAGUUAACUGCGACUUUUUAUCUCACCAUUCUGAGAAAAAAAGACCUAAUUGUGAGAAACUCAGAAUUGCGAGAAAAAGCCAGAAUUGUGAAAUAAGUCGCAAUUAUCUUAAUUUUUUUUAAUGCCGUGGCUUCCGUAAGAAAUCCCAGAAACACUUUAAUACAGACACACAGUAUUCUACACAAACAGAAUAUUCUGGUGCGUUCUGAUGUGUGCUGUGAGAUCUUCUAGCGAUGACGCUGUGUCAGUGUUGUUUAUGUUUGCUGCAGGAAUCCUGGCAGGACUGCGUGGAGCUCGAGGGAUCGAGGGAAAUGGAAGUUUGGCAUAAUAAAAGUGUUUUAUUCCACAACACGCCUCAUACGGCUCAUUAAAGUCAGCCGUGUUUCCCCAGAACACACUCCAGCAUCAACACACACGCUACACGCUUAAUGCACAGUUCUGAGUAUAAAACUAUUACUGUAAAUAUAACCUUUUUAGAUAUGUAUCUGAUUUAUAUAUUAGCACUGGCGUGACUACACAUUAAUCAGUCUACAGUCACACAGAAAAGUA